rnacentral:rRNA from 1 species
GACGAACGCUGGCGGCGUGCUUAAUACAUGCAAGUCGAACGGAAAGGCGCGGCUUUUGUGGGUUUCUCGUUUGGCGAAGGGGUGUGUAACACGUGAGUAAACUGCCCUUGACUGUGGGAGAACACCAGGGAACUGGGGCGAUUACACGAGAGAAUCUCUUGCUGCGCGGGGUGGGUUGGUAAGUUUCGGUGUUGGGGGAUGGUCUCGCGGGUUAUGCGCUGGUUGGGCGGGUAGGGGCUUACCAGGGCUGUGACGGGUAGCCGGCGUGAGAGCGUGACCGGCCACAUUGGGACUGAGAUACGGACCAGAAUCCUACGGUCGGCAGCAGGGGGGAAUAUUGCACAAUGGGCGGACGCCUGAUGCAGCAACGCUGGGUUCGUGAUGACGGCUUUUGGGUUGUAAACCAAUUUCGAAUGUGACGAAGAGUGCGUGACGGUAAUGGGUAAAGAAGCACCGGCUAACUACGUG